rnacentral:rRNA from 1 species
CCUACGGGUGGCAGCAGUGGGGAAUAUUGCACAAUGGGGGAAACCCUGAUGCAGCGACGCCGCGUGAGUGAAGAAGUAAUUCGUUAUGUAAAGCUCUAUCAGCAGGGAAGAAAAUGACGGUACCUGAGUAAGAAGCCCCGGCUAACUACGUGCCAGCAGCCGCGGUACUACGUAGGGGGCAAGCGUUAUCCGGAUUUACUGGGUGUAAAGGGAGCGUAGACGGCAGUGCAAGUCUGGAGUGAAAGGCUGGGGCUCAACCCUGCGCCUUCAUUUGAAACUGUGUUUCUUGAGUGCUGGAGAGGCAAUCGGGAUUCCGGGUGUAGCGGUGAAAUGCGUAGAUAUACGGAGGAACACCAGUGGCGAAGGCGGAUUGCUGGACAGUAACUGACGCUGAGGCGCGAAAGCGUGGGGAGCAAACAGGAUUAGAUACCCUUGUAGUC